AACAAAUACAGCUCUUUUGAAAUUUUUCUAGCAGAUUUUCUGACUUUGGUCUGAACACCCGA
ensembl:snRNA Gm23016 predicted gene, 23016